rnacentral:tRNA from 1 species
GCGGCUGUGGCGAAGUGGUUAACGCACCUGAUUGUGGUUCAGGCAUUCGUGGGUUCGAUUCCCAUCAGUCGCCCCA